rnacentral:rRNA from 1 species
AACGAACGCUGGCGGCAGGCCUAACACAUGCAAGUCGAACGCCGUAGCAAUACGGAGUGGCAGACGGGUGAGUAACGCGUGGGAACAUGCCCUUUGGUUCGGAAUAACUCAGGGAAACUUGAGCUAAUACCGGAUAAGCCCGAGAGGGGAAAGAUUUAUCGCCGAAGGAUUGGCCCGCGUCCGAUUAGAUAGUUGGUGAGGUAACGGCUCACCAAGGCGACGAUCGGUAGCUGGUCUGAGAGGAUGAUCAGCCACACUGGGACUGAGACACGGCCCAGACUCCUACGGGAGGCAGCAGUGGGGAAUAUUGGACAAUGGGCGCAAGCCUGAUCCAGCCAUGCCGCGUGAGUGAUGAAGGCCCUAGGGUUGUAAAGCUCUUUCGCCAGGGACGAUAAUGACGGUACCUGGAUAAGAAGCCCCGGCUAACUUCGUGCCAGCAGCCGCCGUAACAC